GCCCGGGUAGCUUAGUUGGUAGAGCAUGAGACUCUUUAUCUCAGGGUCGUGGGUUUGAACUCCUCGUUGGGCG